rnacentral:rRNA from 1 species
AACCAGUACCGUGAGGGAAAGGCGAAAAGAACCCCGGCGAGGGGAGUGAAAAAGAACCUGAAACCGUGUACGUACAAGCAGUGGGAGCACAGGUUUACCUGUGUGACUGCGUACCUUUUGUAUAAUGGGUCAGCGACUUAUAUUCUGUAGCAAGGUUAACCGUAUAGGGGAGCCGGAGGGAAACCGAGUCUUAAUUGGGCGUUAAGUUGCAGGGUAUAGACCCGAAACCCGGUGAUCUAGCCAUGGGCAGGUUGAAGGUUGGGUAACACUAACUGGAGGACCGAACCGACUAAUGUUGAAAAAUUAGCGGAUGACCUGUGGCUGGGGGUGAAAGGCCAAUCAAACCGGGAGAUAGCUGGUUCUCCCCGAAAGCUAUUUAGGUAGCGCCUCGUGAAUUCAUCUCCGGGGGUAGAGCACUGUUUCGGCUAGGGGGCCAUCCCGGCUUACCAACCCGAUGCAAACUGCGAAUACCGGAGAAUGUUAUCACGGGAGACACACGGCGGGUGCUAACGUCCGUCGUGAAGAGGGAAACAACCCAGACCGCCAGCUAAGGUCCCAAAGUCAUGGUUAAGUGGGAAACGAUGUGGGAAGGCCCAGACAGCCAGGAUGUUGGCUUAGAAGCAGCCAUCAUUUAAAGAAAGCGUAAUAGCUCACUGGUCGAGUCGGCCUGCGCGGAAGAUGUAACGGGGCUAAACCAUG